rnacentral:rRNA from 1 species
CAGUCGCCACGGUAAUACGAAGGGGGCUAGCGUUGUUCGGAAUUACUGGGCGUAAAGCGCACGCAGGCGGCUCGAUAAAUUAGAAGUGAAAGCCUUGGGCUUAACCUGAGAAUUGCUUUUAAGACUGUCGAGCUAGAAUCCAGAAGAGGGUAGUGGAAUUCCGAGUGUAGAGGUGAAAUUCGUAGAUAUUCGGAAGAACACCAGUGGCGAAGGCGGCUCACUGGACGACUGUUGACGCUGAGGUGCGAAAGCGUGGGGAGCAAACAGGAUUAGAUACCCCGGUAGUCCCUGUCUCUUAUAC